rnacentral:rRNA from 1 species
GACGAACGCUGGCGGCGUGCUUAACACAUGCAAGUCGAACGGAAAGGCCCUGCUUUUGUGGGGUGCUCGAUUGGCGAACGGGGGAGUAACACGUGAGUAACCUGCCCCUGACUUUGGGAUAACUUCAGGAAACUGGGGCUAAUACCGGAUAGGAGCUCCUGCUGCAUGGUGGGGGUUGGAAAGUUUCGGCGGUUGGGGCUGGACUCGCGGCUUAUCGGCUUGUUGGUCGGGUUGUGGCUUACCAAGGCUUUGACGGCUAGCCGGCCUGAGAGGGUGACCGGCCACAAUGGGCCUGCGAUACGGCCCAGACUCCUACGGGAGGCAGCAGUGGAGAGUAUUGCACAAUGGGCGGAAGCCUGUUGCAGCGACGCCGCGUGCGGGAUGACGGCCUUCUAGUUGUAAACCGCUUUCGCCUGUGACGAAGCGUGAGUGACGGUAAUGGGUAAAGAAGCACCGGCUAACUACGUG